GCCCUCGUCGUCCAAUGGAUAGGACACAAGUUUGCGGAACUUGUAAUCGAGGUUCGAAUCCUCGCGAGGGCA
rnacentral:tRNA from 1 species